GACUUGUCUUAAGAUGUGAAAAUCUUGACUUGGGAGGUGGCUCAGAGAGUACAUGUACUUGCCACCGAGCUUAAUAGCCCGAGUUUGAUCCUCAAACCCCACAUGGUGGAAAGAGAAUUCACUCCUGCAAGUCGCCCUCUGACUUCUGCAUGCUCUGUAGCAUUAGUACAUACACAUAAAGGCAUAUAUUUCAUCGUUUUGUAGCUUGGUAUUCUUGUGGGACUCUUAACAGAGGGAGUGGGGUCUGUCUCUGAAGCUUUUGCCUGCUUUUGGGAUCCCCACCCCUUUUUCCUACUGGGUUGCCUUGACCAGUCUUAAUAUGAAUGGAUAUGCCUAGUCUUACUGCAACGUGGUAUCCCAUGUUUGGUUGAUAUCCCUAGGAGGCCUUCAUAGAAACAUAGAAAACAGAAAAAACAAAAACAAAAACAAAACCCCAAACCCAAAAGCAAAACAAACAAAGAAAACCUUUCAAGAGUCAGCUGGGAGGUCGUUUCCCCAGAAAACCCUCUUUGACCCCAUGAUUCCUGACCUCUCUGACCUUCAGAUCCCCCUUAUUAUGGCAAUUAAUCCCAAGGUUAGUGUUUUCUUCUUCCUAUUCCCAGACCAACACCAGCUUUUCCAAAGUAGGACUCACCAUGGUGCCUCACUCUUUGCCAAUGAGUAACAGCUGCUAUGCAGAGUGGAUAAGCAAAAGAAAGUCAUUGUUCUCAGACUUCCCUGGGAGUAGCAAAGGAGCCAGCUAUCUGCCCAGAAUCCAGCCAUCUCUUGUUCACUGCCUAUUUUCCUCCCCAAGUUCUUCUCAGUACCUCUCUCACACCAAGGCCCCGUGAAUCCAUAUACACAUGCACAGAGGUUUGGCCUGAUACAGCGACUUCUGUUACAGUGUUUGUGGACAGAUAGGGGAGGAUGACUGAAGGUUUCCUAGAAGCAGAGGAGGUUGGAACCUAAGUAAGCCUUUCUUUAUCCGGAGAUACCCACCAACUGGAUAAUGUGGGGAAGCUUAGUCAGUAAAGGGCUUUGUCGUGUAAACAUGGGGAUCUAAGUUCAGAUUCUUGGCACCCAUGCCAAAACUACAAGCAAUGGUCUCUGUGAGUUCAUAGCUAGGGAGCCAGAGACAGGUGGGUCUCUGAAAGCUCACUGACUAGGUAUCCUAUCUGAAUAGAUGAGCUCCAGGUUCAAUGAGAGACCCUGUCUCAAAAAAUAAAGUGGAGAACAACUGGUGGAAAUACCUAACAUCGAUCUCUGGCCUCCACAGGCACAUAUCCACGCAUUCUUGCACAUCUGCACAAACUACCCCCUAAACAACACACACACACACACACACACACACACACACACAUCCACUCACACAGAGACUGUACAAUGAGCUUGUCACCUCUGAUCUUUGAUCUUAGAUGAAUUGUCAUGGAGAGUGGGAAAGGGAUGAAGGGACCCACCAUCUGGGAUUCCAAUGUGUAAGUGAGGGCAGCAAUCCAGGUACUCAUGUUGUCCACACACAGUGCCUAUACAGCCUUUCUGGCAUUAAAAGAUCCUGACAGAGAGUAAAACAUUAUUUAAGCCCCUAGACCUGUGUCCAAAAUAGCCCCAUUGUUCCAAGAUGUCAGGAGUUUGCAGUUUUUUGCCUUUAUAGCCCAAUGGCAGGUGUUUGUGGUUUGUGUGUCUACAUAAACCCCUUACCCCUUGAGCUCAUCGUCGACUCCUCUACCCCUGCGUGGGAUACAAGUUGUCCCCAGUGCACUGGUCUUUCCUGAAUAAACCUCUUGCAGUUUGCAUC
rnacentral:lncRNA from 1 species